AUUGAACGCUGGCGGCAUGCUUUACACAUGCAAGUCGAACGGCAGCGCGGGCUUCGGCCUGGCGGCGAGUGGCGAACGGGUGAGUAAUGCAUCGGAACGUGCCCAGUAGUGGGGGAUAGCCCGGCGAAAGCCGGAUUAAUACCGCAUACGACCUGAGGGUGAAAGCGGGGGACCGAAAGGCCUCGCGCUAUUGGAGCGGCCGAUGUCGGAUUAGCUAGUUGGUGGGGUAAAGGCUUACCAAGGCGACGAUCCGUAGCUGGUCUGAGAAGACGACCAGCCACACUGGGACUGAGGCACGGCCCAGACUCCUACGGGAGGCAGCAGUGGGGAAUUUUGGACAAUGGGGGCAACCCUGAUCCAGCCAUGCCGCGUGCGGGAAGAAGGCCUUCGGGUUGUAAACCGCUUUUGUUCGGGAAGAAAUCCUCUGGGCUAAUACCCCGGGGGGAUGACGGUACCGGAAGAAUAAGCACCGGCUAACUACGUG
rnacentral:rRNA from 1 species